CCUACGGGAGGCAGCAGUGAGGAAUAUUGGUCAAUGGGCGCGAGCCUGAACCAGCCAAGUAGCGUGAAGGAUGACUGCCCUACGGGUUGUAAACUUCUUUUAUAAAGGAAUAAAUUUAGGCACGUGUGCCUUUUUGUAUGUACUUUAUGAAUAAGGAUCGGCUAACUCCGUGCCAGCAGCCGCGGUAAUACGGAGGAUCCGAGCGUUAUCCGGAUUGAUUGGGUUUAAAGGGAGCGUAGAUGGGUUGUUAAGUCAGAUGUGAAAGUCUGCGGCUCAACCGUAAAAUUGCAAUUGAUACUGGCAGCCUUGAGUACAGUUGAGGUAGGCGGAAUUCGUGGUGUAGCGGUGAAAUGCUUAGAGAUCACGAAGAACUCCGAUUGCGAAGGCAGCCUACUAAACUGUCACUGACAUUGAUGCUCGAAAGUGUGGGUAUCAAACAGGAUUAGAUACCCGGGUAGUC
rnacentral:rRNA from 1 species